GCGCUCGGUGGUGUAGUGGUAGAGCACGCGUCCCAGGAUAGGAUGAAACGCGAGUCAUUGUUGUUCGAUUCCCGCCUGAGGCC